rnacentral:rRNA from 1 species
AUUGAACGCUGGCGGCAUGCUUUACACAUGCAAGUCGAACGGCAGCACGGACUUCGGUCUGGUGGCGAGUGGCGAACGGGUGAGUAAUACAUCGGAACGUACCCAGUAAUGGGGGAUAACUAUCCGAAAGGAUAGCUAAUACCGCAUACGCCCUACGGGGGAAAGAGGGGGAUCGCAAGACCUCUUGUUAUUGGAGCGGCCGAUGGCUGAUUAGCUAGUUGGUGAGGUAAAGGCUCACCAAGGCGACGAUCAGUAGCGGGUCUUAGAGGACGAUCAGCCACACUGGAACGGAGACACGGUCCAGACUCCUACGGGAGGCAGCAGUGGGGAAUCUUGGACAAUGGGCGCAAGCCUGAUCCAGCAAUGCCGCGUGCGUGAAGAAGGCCUUCGGGUUGUAAAGCGCUUUUGUCAGGGAGCAAAUCCUUGUGGCUAAUACCCACCGGGGAUGAGAGUACCUGAAGAAUAAGGACCGGCUAACUACGUGCCAGCAGCCGCAGUAA